rnacentral:rRNA from 1 species
UACGUAGGCAGCGAGCGUUGUUCGGAGUUACUGGGCGUAAAGGGUGCGUAGGCGGUUGUUUAAGUUUGGUGUGAAAUCUCCCGGCUCAACUGGGAGGUGCGCCGAAUACUGAAUGACUAGAGUGCGGGAGAGGAUAGUGGAAUUCCUGGUGUAGCGGUGAAAUGCGUAGAGAUCAGGAAGAACAUCGGUGGCGAAGGCGCUCUGCUGGACCAUAACUGACACUCAGGGACGAAAGCUAGGGGAGCGAAUGGG